AGUGGGGCAGAGUCAUCCAAGCAAGGUCACUGACUAUGUGAAAGUUAAUAGUUGUUUCUUGAAAAUAAAAGUCACGAGAACAUUAGAGCACGAAGAAUAUAAUUACUAUGAGAGGGAGAAUAGAUGAAGAGAAUAUUUUCAUUUUAAAAUGUAAUUCACUUAAAACAAAAUGUGAUAAAUAGCGCUUGGACAACUAAGGUCAUCUGGGCUGCUCGCGGUAAUUCAAUUAGGGGGGAAUCUGAAAGCGGUAAGUGGGUGGUAGGUGGGAGCUGUAAAAGCACUGAACUGUUAAUAAUCUGAGACUUUUCCAUCCCUUUAUGCGGAUGAGAGUGGAUCAAUUAUGUGAACGCAUAAGUCUCCGUAUUGUCCUCAUUUCAUAGAUGGGCCCUGGGGGAGAGGUUCCCCAGUGCUGGGAUGGAGCGAUGCCUCUUGGAAGAGCCUGACAGGCUCCAUCCUGACUUUACUUGGGGAAAAUAUAACAGCUUUCUUUCUUUCAAGUGAUAAUUUUGACAUCCUGAAGGCAGAACACUCCUUGGAUUUGGAGUGAACGUUCAGUUGCAUCCGGAGAGAACACUUAGUACUGAGCUGAGGACCAGGAAGACCAGCCAGCUAUCCUAACAACACGUGGGUAGGGGAUGCAGAGAUUUUUCUCAGAAUUUUUAGAUUUAGGUGGGCUUCUUUACAGCAUGCAGCAGACACUGUGGGUGGAUUCCAAAUUUAAUUUUACCCCAAGCAAAUCUGCUAACAGUGUUUAUGUUUUUCAAGUGAAAUAUAUUAAAAAAAAACAACAACAACAACCAUGCAGUUCUUAGUUUGAUAAAUAAAAAUAUAUUCAGGAAGAUAAUAAGACUAUCUUACAAAAUUCAAAAACAUAUUAUUUCCAUGUAUGUGUGGCACAUCAAAGUUAAGUGGAGUUUAUUAUAUAUUCUGUCACUCUGAAUGUUAAAUCCUAUGUCUAGUUAACAUAACAUGGAUGGUUUGUAGAGAUAAUUAAGAAUUCAUACUAGAAGAUAGGCUCUUCAGGUGUGGUGUUGAAUAACCAGCACUCUGGAGAAUAAUGCUAAAGGAUUGCCACGAGUUCAAGGCCGUGCUGGGCAAGUACCAGUCACCUACUUUGAGCUAUAGAUUAGGACCUGUCUAUACCAAAUCUUAAAUCCAACUAAAGAAAAGCAAAGAAAGAACAUAUACUUUUUGUCCUAAUGUUAAUCAAUAAAGUUAUAUAGAAAAGACAGAUUGUCUAAAUGUACCCAUUGUCUUUCAGAUUUCUGACAGAUGAAAAAGGAAUUAAACAAGUGUGAAACACCACUGUAACCAUUUGUAAAAAAAAAAAAUCAAACUACAUGCAUUUCCAUUAGGUUUCUCAAUGCAUUGACAAAAUACCUGGCAAGAAUAGCUGAAAGAAAUCUUUGUUUCAGCAGGCAUGGUAGCAAGAGCUUGAGGAGGCAGGCCAUGCUGUGCCAGCCAUUAGGAAAGAUAAGGAGAUAGGUGCUGGUUCUCACUGAACCAUAUCUCCAUUUUGCUCAGUAGAGCAUCUCAGGCCAUAGGAUGGCUCACAUUCACAGUGGGUCUUCCAACCUCGGCCAACAGAAUCUAGAAAAUCUAUACCAAGCACAGUCACAGGGCUGUCUUCUAGGUUAUUCUUUAUCUGGUCAAGUUGACAACCAAAUUAAAUCAUCACAACAUAUGUUGGUCAUGUAGACAUGAUAUUUUAAGGAGAGCUGAAAGGGGACAAACUAUUUUUAAUCAAGUUCAAAUCCAAAUUAAAAUCCUUCCAUAAUUUCAUGAACAUUUUACUCAAUGCAUCCAUUCUGGAGAAGAUUAUAAAGAAAAGUUUCUACGUGGUCCUGGUUUGUUAUCACAUUAUGGAAACAGGAGAAAGAGAGAGAGAAGGAGAUACUUGGCUCCAGUAAUGAAAUGAAUGGAGAAAUGUUUGAAAACUAUUUAGCCAUUUAAAAUCACACUUUUCUUUCCUUUUGUUUUUACAUUUUAUUUUUCUAUGUAUUCAUUUAUUUUCCAGUAGUGUGGAUGACACCAAUGUCUGCAAAUGUGCAAAGUAAGUGCUGUACCAUUGAACUGUAUCUUCAGGCUUACUUUCCGUGUAAGUUAAAAAAGAGAUGUUCUUGGCCCUUUAAUCGGGCAUUUAUCUACAUCCUGCCUGUACUUUACUAUUCUUUAUCCUUUUGUACCUACCCACCAAAAGAUGUCAUUUUAGGUGCAUUCAAUUGGGUCACCCUUAAAAUGUAUCCCCCC
rnacentral:lncRNA from 1 species